UGGGGAAUCUUGCGCAAUGGGCGAAAGCCUGACGCAGCAACGCCGCGUGAGGGAUGAAGGUCUUCGGGUUGUAAACCUCUUUCGAGCAGGGACGAUUGUGACGGUACCUGCAGAAGAAGCUCCGGCCAACUACGUGCCAGCAGCCGCGGUGAUACGUAGGGAGCGAGCGUUGUCCGGAUUCAUUGGGCGUAAAGAGCUCGUAGGCGGCUCAGUAAGUCAGGUGUGAAAUCCUCAGGCUCAACCUGGGGCUGCCAUCUGAUACUGCUGUGGCUAGAGCCCGGUAGGGGCCCACGGAAUUCCUGGUGUAGCGGUGAAAUGCGCAGAUAUCAGGAGGAACACCAGUGGCGAAGGCGGUGGACUGGGCCGGUACCGACGCUGAGGAGCGAAAGCGUGGGGAGCGAACAGGAUUAGAUACCCUGGUAGUCCACGCCGUAAACGUUGGGCACUAGGUGUGGGACCUUGUCAACGGGUUCCGUGCCGUAGCUAACGCAUUAAGUGCCCCGCCUGGGGAGUACGGCCGCAAGGCUA
rnacentral:rRNA from 1 species